UACGGAGGGUGCAAGCGUUAAUCGGAAUUACUGGGCGUAAAGCGCGCGUAGGUGGCUUGAUAAGCCGGUUGUGAAAGCCCCGGGCUCAACCUGGGAACGGCAUCCGGAACUGUCAAGCUAGAGUGCAGGAGAGGAAGGUAGAAUUCCCGGUGUAGCGGUGAAAUGCGUAGAGAUCGGGAGGAAUACCAGUGGCGAAGGCGGCCUUCUGGACUGACACUGACACUGAGGUGCGAAAGCGUGGGUAGCAAACAGGAUUAGAAACCCUGGUAGUCC
rnacentral:rRNA from 1 species